rnacentral:rRNA from 1 species
GACGAACGCUGGCGGCGUGCUUAACACAUGCAAGUCGAACGGAAAGGCCCUGCUUUUCUGGGGUGCUCGAGUGGCGAACGGGUGAGUAACACGUGAGUAACCUGCCCUUGACUUCGGGAUAACUUCAGGAAACUGGGGCUAAUACCGGAUAGGAGCUCCUGCUGCAUGGUGGGGGUUGGAAAGUUUCGGCGGUUGGGGAUGGACUCGCGGCUUAUCAGCUUGUUGGUGGGGUAGUGGCUUACCAAGGCUUUGACGGGUAGCCGGCCUGAGAGGGUGACCGGCCACAUUGGGACUGAGAUACGGCCCAGACUCCUACGGGAGGCAGCAGUGGGGAAUAUUGCACAAUGGGCGGAAGCCUGAUGCAGCAACGCCGCGUGCGGGAUGACGGCCUUCGGGUUGUAAACCGCUUUCGCCUGUGACGAAGCGUGAGUGACGGUAAUGGGUAAAGAAGCACCGGCUAACUACGUG